UACGAAGGGGGCUAGCGUUGUUCGGAAUUACUGGGCGUAAAGCGCACGUAGGCGGACUAUUAAGUCAGGGGUGAAAUCCCGGGGCUCAACCCCGGAACUGCCUUUGAUACUGGUAGUCUCGAGUCCGGAAGAGGUGAGUGGAAUUCCGAGUGUAGAGGUGAAAUUCGUAGAUAUUCGGAGGAACACCAGUGGCGAAGGCGGCUCACUGGUCCGGUACUGACGCUGAGGUGCGAAAGCGUGGGGAG
rnacentral:rRNA from 1 species